ensembl:snoRNA LOC120095748 small nucleolar RNA SNORA17
CCUGCCCCUAGAGGCAUUGCAGGCAUGGCUGCUGUUUCGCUUGUGCAUCAGUAGGUGGCAGAGAGGAGAGAGGAUAUGACUACAUCCAGUGUUCUGACCCGUGAAUAUCUGAACGAUUGAUUAGUAGCCUAACAUU